AUGGUGUUGUUUGGGGCGCUCUCAGCCACAAACUGCAGAAGAGUGGGGGCGGGGGACAAGGUGGGGAGGAGGAAAGGGUGGGCGAAGGAGCCCAGAAUGAGACCAGCAGGAGGGUGGAAACUCCGGGAGGGAGAGGAAACGCAGAAGGCGACGUACAGUCCGGCGACGGACCGGGAGAGAGACGGGAUUUCACCAUGUUGGCCAGGCUGGUCUCGAACUAACAGCCUCAGGAAUUGCCCUUCCAACCAGAACCAAGACAGACUGUCACCUCAAAUAUAAGAGGAGUCUCAGCACUGUUCCUCAGCGCUCUUCUUCCCCAAGCUGCCCUGUGAAAUGGGGACACUGGGGAAGGCAGAGGCAAUGGCAUGAAGGCUCUAAGCCAUUUCAGAGGAGGCACUAGCUGACAUGAAGAUGAAAACCACAGAUGACGGGGCCUGAUAAACCCUGAACCAAAACCCUAAGUGUGUACCAUCUUGGACAGAGUCUGUGAUUUUGACUAUGCAUGAGAAGAAAGAGAAUGCAAGUGCUCUCUUCAUUCAUGGAGUUUUGAACCCAGAUGCCUCAGAGAGUGCCUUCCACCCAUCUCAUAUAUGAGUCAUGAAUGGCAAAUGAUACCUGAGCAGGGGAGGCCUAUUGGUCCUGCCGUCCCUCUCAAGGGUGCCUGCCGGUGCAGAUCAGGGCUGGAGUCCUAUCUUGGUGAAGGGCAGGAGGAGCUCAGGUCGGCUGCCCUCUGAAGCCUCUCCAGACAUCACCACAAACGGCUACCAUUACCCAGCCGCCCUUCACGCCCCAGAUACAUUGUUUUUCUUUUUUUUCUGAGGCUCUGUCACCCAGGCUGGAGUGCAGUGGUGUGAUCUUGGCUCACUGCAACCUCCGCCUCCCAGGUUCAAGCGAUUCUCCUGCCUCAAUCCCUGAGUAGCUGGGAUUACAAACAUGUUCCAUCCACCAUGCCUGAAUGGUUUUUGUGUUUUUAGUGGAGAUGGAGUUUCACCGUAUUGGCCAGACUGGUUUGGAACACCUGACAUCAGGUGAUCCACCUGCCUCAGCCUCCCAAAGUGGUGGAAUUACAGGUAUGAGCCACUUCACCUGGUCAGAUGCAUAGUUUUUCUCAUGCUUGUCCUUGCACAUCUCCCGGGUGCAGGAAUGUUUGGAGCCCAUGAAGUGAUCUGUGCUGAACCCCCAAACCUGAAAGUCAGGGCCAAUUCUCUUUGCCUCCCAUACUAGGUGGGGCCUUAGGUUUUGCAUGAAAACUAAAAGCCCACAAGCCCAAAGGUUCUCCUCUCUUUACCACUAUUUCCAAACAUAAACAAGGAAAUUGUUGGAUGAGCCAAAAUAACCCCAAGAAGAAGGAACAAGUGCUAGUGACAUCUUCACAUGAGGAUGGAAGCCUCAUGAAUUCAGACUAUUCUAAGCCGCAGGU
rnacentral:lncRNA from 1 species